ensembl:lncRNA
GAUUUGUGACUCUUGAGGUUUUCAAACUUUAGGGUCCAAACAGCUGCUUUACUUCCACGUUUUAAUAGCAAUACAGUUUGAAGGAGAAGUGAAAUUAGAGCAGAGAGACUAUAGGCUGAAUAAUGCAGUAAUGUACUCAGCCAAAGCUGAGUACUCACUUAAUGGAGUGUGAAAGGUUGGUCAUGAGGAUGGGAGUAGCCCUGAAACCAGGCAGUAUCUCCCCUCCAAAUGUCUGUGCCCCUUCUCUUCACCUAUACCACAACAGAAAUACAUUUCCUCUCAGGCUGGAUGCGAAGAAGACAUUUUUUUUUCCAGAGGAAGGUGCACCAGCAAGGUGUGUUCCUUGCCAUAUAGGCUUAGGGAGAAAAUGAACUCUUCUGUCCUUAAAGACAUAUUGAUUGUGAUCUGGUAGCUAGAAGAUGACAAGUUGCCUGAUGGUGAAGGUCAACCACACAGUCAUCUGCUGAAGGUCAACUGCUGGCACACAGACCUCUCAGGUUGGAUUUGGGGUUUGAAAGCCAGCACACCAAGUUCCCGUUCGUGUUACAGAUGUUGCAUUGACUCCAAGUUGGCAUGAACAGCAAUAUGAGCUUGUACACAAGACCCUGGUUUGACAGAAAGGUUUGCACAGGUUUCAGAAGCACUUCUGAAAACAGAAACGUUCUUCUUGAAAAACUGUAUGUAUCACUCCACAAAAAGUACAACCAAUCUAUUAAGUGAUCCAAGUAAGACUGCAAGACAGCCUGAGUGUCCAGUGUGCACCAUCGCUGCAAGAGCAGAGAGGCAAGGUUGCUAUCAUGCAGUGGCAACAAUUGUCCUCUGUUUAAUGCCUAUUUUUACUCUUCAUGUCUCUACUUUUCCUGGCAUGCAAAGAGCUGGAACUAAAGGCACCGCACCCUGGAGUGAUGGGGGAUGUUAUGGCAGGAGUGCAGUGCCAUGCUUAAGGUUAGAUCUUAGUCUCCCCUUGAUUUGCAUCACAGGAAUUUUAUGACCGACUUUGUCAUAUGAAUACCUAAAGCUCUGGGCCAAGAGACAGGUUUGGAUUUUUUUUUUCCACUUUUGGAGCCCAUUAGUGAGCAGCCAGUGGUGGAGACAGGAAGCAGCUGUUCUAUAAAGGUCAUACUGGUGGGCUACAUAAAUUUCCUUUUGCAGAAUACUGGUGGAAUAAUUUAAAGACCCUGAGACACCCAAAUGGUGAUACCAUGGCCAAACAAUCAGGGACGUUUUCAGUACUGCACACCUUCUAUGCUCUUGGAAAGCUAUGCCCCAUCUACCUUGCAGACUGGGCCUCCAGUUCAAGUGGGAGUAGACUAAGGUGUG